AACAAACGCUGGCGGCGUGCCUAAUACAUGCAAGUCGAGCGAGGAAAGCUUUCGGGUGAGUACUAGUGGCGCACGGGUGAGGAAUAUAUGGGUAAUCUGCCCUCGAGUUGGGGAUAACCAGUCGAAAGACUGGCUAAUACCGAAUAAGACCACAGGAUCUGCGGAUCUAGGGGUUAAAGGUUUUUCGCUUGAGGAUGAGCCCAUACGGGAUUAGCUAGUUGGCGAGGUAAUGGCUCACCAAGGCUACGAUCCCUAACUGGUCUUAGAGGAUGAUCAGUCACACUGGAACUGAGACACGGUCCAGACUCCUACGGGAGGCAGCAGUAGGGAAUAUUGCACAAUGGGGGAAACCCUGAUGCAGCGACGCCGCGUGAGUGAUGAAGGCCUUCGGGUCGUAAAGCUCUGUCGUAUGGGACUAACACAAUGAAGGUACCAUGCAAGAAAGGAUCGGCUAACUUCGUGCCAGCCGCCGCCGUAA
rnacentral:rRNA from 1 species